rnacentral:misc_RNA from 1 species
GAUGAAGAACGUAGCGAAAUGCGAUACUUGGUGUGAAUUGCAGAAUCCCGUGAACCAUCGAGUCUUUGAACGCAAGUUGCGCCCGAAGCCAUUAGGCCGAGGGCACGCCUGCCUGGGCGUCACACGUCGUUGCCCCCCCAUCUACUCCUUCGGGAUUGCGGGGGGCGGAUGAUGGCCUCCCGUGCGCCUCGUCGCGCGGUUGGCAUAAAUGCCAAGUCCUCGGCGACGCACGCCACGACAAUCGGUGGUUGCGAAACCUCGGUUGCCCGUCGUGUGCGGUCGUCGCGCAUCGAGGGCUCGAAAAAAUUGUCGGGAUCCGGCUCGGCUUUCAACGCGACCCCAGGUCAGGCGGGGUUACCCGCUGAAUUUAAGCAUAUCAAUAAGCGGAGGA